rnacentral:rRNA from 1 species
CCCUUAGAUGUUCUGGGCCGCACGCGUGCUACACUGAGUAAUUCAAUGGGUAAGGGAACGCUAGAGCAUUACCUAAUCUUGAAAUUUGCUCGUGAUGGGGAUCGACGGUUGCAAUUUUCCGUCGUGAACGAGGAAUACCUUGUAGGCGCAUGUCAUCAUCAUGCGCCGAAUACGUCCCUGCCCUUUGUACACACCGCCCGUCGCUCCUACCGAUUGAGUGAUCCGGUGAGGCUCUGGGACCUGGACGGAAAGAGCGUUUCGCUUGUUCUGUUUGGGAAACUUGGUCGAACCUUAUCAUUUAGAGGAAGGAGAAGUCUUAACA